rnacentral:rRNA from 1 species
AGUGGCGGACGGGUGAGUAACGCGUAAGAAUCUAACUUCAGGACGGGGACAACAGUGGGAAACGACUGCUAAUACACGAUGUGCCGCGAGGUGAAACCUAAUUGGCCUGAAGAAGAGCUUGCGUCUGAUUAGCUAGUUGGUGGGGUAAGAGCCUACCAAGGCGACGAUCAGUAGCUGGUCUGAGAGGAAGAGCAGCCACACUGGGACUGAGACACGGCCCAGACUCCUACGGGAGGCAGCAGUGGGGAAUUUUCCGCAAUGGGCGAAAGCCUGACGGAGCAACGCCGCGUGAGGGAGGAAGGUCUUUGGAUUGUAAACCUCUUCUCUCAGGGAAGAAGUUCUGACGGUACUUGAGGAAUCAGCCUCGGCUAACUCCGUGCCAGCAGCCGCGGUAAUACGGGGGAGGCAAGCGUUAUCCGGAAUUAUUGGGCGUAAAGCGUCCGCAGGUGGUCAGCCAAGUCUGCCGUCAAAUCAGGUUGCUUAACGACCUAAAGGCGGUGGAAACUGGCAGACUAGAGAGCAGUAGGGGUAGCAGGAAUUCCCAGUGUAGCGGUGAAAUGCGUAGAGAUUGGGAAGAACAUCGGUGGCGAAAGCGUGCUACUGGGCUGUAUCUGACACUCAGGGACGAAAGCUAGGGGAGCGAAAGGGAUUAGAUACCCCUGUAGUCCUAGCCGUAAACGAUGGAUACUAGGCGUGGCUU